rnacentral:lncRNA from 1 species
AAGAAACAGACUGUAGUUUCUUGCUCGAGUACCGAGGCUCAGUUGCGUGUGAUGGCUAUGCUGACGGCUGAGGUGAUCUGGUUACGAUGGUUACUUGAGGACUUUGGUGUCCCUGCUACUACAUCGACUCCCUUACUGUCCGACAACAUAGGUUCUCUCAGUAUCACGCGAGACCCAGUGAAGCAUGAGCUCACCAAGCACAUCGGUGUGGAUGCCCACUUUGUGCAUGCUACUGUGCAAGAUCAGACUAUCGCUCUUCACUAUGUGCCCCCUGAGUUACAGUUGGCGGACUUCUUCACAAAGGCAUAGACUCGAGCGUAGCAUGGGUUCUUUCUCUCCAUACUUAGUGUUGUUGACCCGCAAUGAGUUUGAGGGGGGGUGUUAGAUGUCUAUAAUCCAUUUUCUGUAUAUCCCCAUUGUAUAAGGGGUUUCUUAAUUUUCAUCACAUGUAUAAGUACUAGUCCUUGGCCCCCCUCUGAAUGUCAUUUUCUCAUCCUCUAACAUCACUAACUAGUGUACGGACAGGAGAGGCGCGGGACAGUGCCAUGAGAAGCAAGGAGAGAGCGGAUGGCAACAUUGUCGAACUUGCGACCAUUGUCAGUUUGCAGAGCGAGGAGAGAGCGCUCAAAUUGAGCCUGAACAUACGCAUAAAACUGAACAAUGAUAGAUAGUAUUUGUGUUGCAAAGGAAACCUCCAUACAUAAUGCAUAUAGUCAUCGAGAAUUACAAGGUAAAACUGAUCUAGAGACACUCGCCACACAGGAGGUCCAAAUGUCUAAAUGACAACUGAAAAUAGGAACAAACUGCUACUGAGCGAUUCAUGAAACAGGAGGCGUGUGUGCUUGGCCAGACGACACGUGAUGCAAGAGUGUGAGGAGGAUUGGGUGCAUGCGAACUCGAAGCCGGCGAGCAGUGCACGCCCCGGGUGGCCCAACCACUGGUGCCAGAGGUCAGUGGUGACCAUGCCAACGAAGGGCAGAGAAGGACGCGACGGUGAAGCACCAACAACGAGAUACAUAUCGCCCUCUGAUUCACAUUUAAGAAUCACCAUCCAGGUGUAGAGGUCUUUGACAUAAAUACCAAACUUAUCAAGCCUUACUAAAACUAUAUUUAACGAUAGAGUUGACAAAGAGAGAGCAAUUUUUUGACAAGGGAGGGGUAAGAAGGACAUUGUGGAGAUCAAGGGGUCCUGUUGAAGUGGUGAUCGAACCAAAGCCGAUGUGCGUGAUGGGCAUAUGAGCUCCAUUGCAAACAAUUACUGAGGUGCGUGGAAGAGGGACGAAGAGAAGAGAGUGUAAUGGGAUUGGAUGCCAUGUGCGCGACAGCGCCCCAGUCGAGGUACUAGUCGGAGAUACUGCCAGACGACAAGGGCCUGAGGUGGUGUUCUGUAAUGCAACUUGGGGCCAGUUCUUUUCAGGCACGAUUCUACAGAAUCAAGAUUCUGGUAAAUUUUCCCAGAAUCUGCUUCUCCCAGAAUCUAUCGUCAAGUUCUUUUUAGAGAUUAUAGUUUCAGAUUCUGGAAAGUGUUGGGUGUUGAAAUGUCUGUAUUACCCUAAAAAAGAAAGAACAAAGACUUGGAAGAGAGAGGAUGGCUUCGGCGGAGAGAACGGGCCGGCGACAACGAGUUCUCGGACGGCGGCGAGGUGGGGCCGACGGCGGACAGGCAGGGUCGCGGAGAAGGAACUUGGGCCGGCGGCCUGGCGGGUUCGCGGAGGAGGAACUAGGGCCGACGAAGGCGAGGUCCUAGCUGAUGGAGGUGACGCGGGGCCGGCGGAGGCGAGGUCCUAGCUGAUGGAGGCGACGCGGGGCCGGCGGAGGCGAGGUCCUAGCUNAAUGAUUUCCGGACCGGUGGCGCGAGGCGGGGCUGGCGGCGGGGUUUAGUCGUGCAGGACUGCGGGGUGGCAUUCUUGACGUAAUAACGAACUGGAACAGGGGUACUCUAUUAACUCCAAACGUUUUCUUUUGAGGGACUAGCCAGAAUCCCAGAUUCUGGGAAAAUNNNNNNNNNNNNNNNNNNNNNNNNNNNNNNNNNNNNNNNNNNNNNNNNNNNNNNNNNNNNNNNNNNNNNNNNNNNNNNNNNNNNNNNNNNNNNNNNNNNNNNNNNNNNNNNNNNNNNNNNNNNNNNNNNNNNNNNNNNNNNNNNNNNNNNNNNNNNNNNNNNNNNNNNNNNNNNNNNNNNNNNNNNNNNNNNNNNNNNNNNNNNNNNNNNNNNNNNNNNNNNNNNNNNNNNNNNNNNNNNNNNNNNNNNNNNNNNNNNNNNNNNNNNNNNNNNNNNNNNNNNNNNNNNNNNNNNNNNNNNNNNNNNNNNNNNNNNNNNNNNNNNNNNNNNNNNNNNNNNNNNNNNNNNNNNNNNNCAGAUUCUGGGAAAAUCCAACUAUUUUGAAGAUUUUGGAUUGCACUAGGAUAAUGCAGAAUCCUCUACAGAUUUUGGAGAGGCAAUCGAGUUCUUUUGGGCAAAGAUUUUCCAGACCGAGAUUCUUCAUAAUCUGCUCAAAAGAACUGGGCAUUGGAGCGGUGUCAUAUCCCAGGGCUUCUGUGGUUAUUGAGGCGAAGGCGGUGUAGCAGCAUAGCCAAUUUUCAUGUUUUGACCAUUUCGCCUAAGUUAAGCCAGAUCUGACCCUGGUGGGAAUUUUUUCCGGAUCUGGCCCUUUUUCUACCGCCGGACCCCUNNNNNNNNNNNNNNNNNNNNNNNNNNNNNNNNNNNNNNNNNNNNNNNNNNNNNNNNNNNNNNNNNNNNNNNNNNNNNNNNNNNNNNNNNNNNNNNNNNNNNNNNNNNNNNNNNNNNNNNNNNNNNNNNNNNNNNNNNNNNNNNNNNNNNNNNNNNNNNNNNNNNNNNNNNNNNNNNNNNNNNNNNNNNNNNNNNNNNNNNNNNNNNNNNNNNNNNNNNNNNNNNNNNNNNNNNNNNNNNNNNNNNNNNNNNNNNNNNNNNNNNNNNNNNNNNNNNNNNNNNNNNNNNNNNNNNNNNNNNNNNNNNNNNNNNNNNNNNNNNNNNNNNNNNNNNNNNNNNNNNCUACCGCCGGACCCCUUGGCGGUAGGGUAUAACAACCUACCGUCGAGGUCCCUCGCGGUAGGGUUGCAUGCCUACUGUAAAAAAAGCUCUAAGUUGCAGACAAAGUGCACGCGCGAGCCUACCGCCGGACCCCUUGGCGGUAGGGUUACACAUGCUACCACCAGGCCCUGCGACAGGCCAUUUUCCUACUGCCAGGGACCUCAGCGGUAGGUUGUCAUACCCUACCGCCAAAGGUCUGGCGGUAAGAAAAGGGCCAGAUCCAAACAAAUUCACGAUCAGGGUCAAAUCCGGCUAAACUUAGGCAAAAGGGUUAAAAGAGUGAAUUUGUCCGCCAAGAGGAGGCUGAGGCGUUGGCGGUCUAGCAGAGCUCGAGGUCCCACCAUUACCGCGUCUGUGCUUAUUUCCGCACCGUGACCAUGAACCGCGCUAGAGGUGUUGGGGUUGACAGGUGAGGCAGGAGCGUGGUGGGGCACGUGACAACUAACGCAUGGGUGCUCUAGUGGCACACCGCCUAUUCAACGUGGAGAUCUGUGAGCAGUAGGAAUGACCAUGCGUGCAACAAGAAGGUAAGGGGAUUACGUGUCAUGAGGUGGGGGAUGACAACAUGAUAUUGGUGGUUUAGACCGCGCAACAGAUGGAGGAUUUGUCGGGUUUCUGUGACCGACUGGCCAAGAUCGCGAAGUUGACCGGUGUAUACCUUGAGAUUGGUGCAUGAUGGGCAUGUCCCUUGCACAAUGGUGUGGUACUCCACAUUGGUGUGGAUGACACGGGAGAGUUGGUUGGCCCAGAAGAUGGCAUAGACGACAGCCCACACAGCGGCAGAAGUGUCCUCGGGUUACAUGACCAUGUCGAGGAGGUCGGGCGAGAGGGUGAUGGAGAGCGAGUGCACAACGACGUGACCCGCCAUCACCCAGUCUAGGUCAUUGGAGCGAUGUAGUGCGCUGGUGCCGAUGUGGUCGUGGAGACCAAACAUGCCGAGCACGGUGUCGAAGUGCCGACGCCAUUGGCCGUAGUUGUCGGCGGCAAGAUCAAAGACCACCAGACCAUCUUGAGAACACGGGUGGGGGCAUGAUGUGCCAUGGCUACCGGAGCGGCAGGGGUCAUGUCUACUACAUAACUUUAUUCUUGUAGGCUAUGUUGGGCAUCCAAGUAUAGAGUUUUGUAGGACAGUAGCAAUUUUUCUCUCAAGUGGAUGACCUAAGGUUUAUCAAUCGGUGGGAGGUAUAGGAUGAAGAUGGUAUCUCUCAAACAAGCAUGCAAUUAGAUACAAAAAAUCUCUUGUGUCCCCAACACACCCAAUACAAUGGCAAAUUGUAUAGGUGCACUAGUUCUAUGAAGAGAUGGUGAUACAAGUGUAGUAUGGAUAGUAGAUAUAGGUAUUGUAAUCUGAAAAUAUAAAAACAACAAGGUAGCAAGUGCAAAACAUCGAGCAAAAUGUUGUAUAAAUGGCCGGAAAUAAGGCCUAGGGUUCACACUUUAACUAGUGCAAUCUCUCAACAAUGCUAUCAUAAUAGAAUCAUAUGAUCAUCCCUCAACGUGCAACAAAGAAUCACUCCAAAGUUUCUAUCUAGCGGAGAACAAUAAGACGAAAUUGGUGUAGGUAGUAGAACCACCUUAAAGUUAUUCUUUCUGAUCAAUCUUGUGAGCUAUUCCUAUAAGUGUCACAAACAACCCUAGAGUUCGUACUAUAAUAACACAUAUGAUACAUAUCAAUCAACCUUAAUGUCACCUAGAUAGUCCAAUGUCACCUCAAGUAUCCGUGGGUAAAUUAUGCGACAUGCAUCAAACAAUUUCAGAUCUAACAUAUUCAAUCCAACACAAAGAACUUUAAGGAGCACCCCUAGAUUUCUAUCGGAAAACAUAGUAUGAAAAUGCGCAAUCAACACCUAUGCAUAGAUCCCCACCGGAAUCCGCAAGUUGAUGUCAUAACGUAUAUCAAGCGAAUCACUUGAAUUCCCUAAUGUCACUACGGGUAUCCGCAUGCAAGACAUACAUCAAGUGUUCUCAAACCAAAGUAUUCAAUCCAACAUAACGAGAUCUUAAAGGGAAAGAUUCAAUUCAUCACAACAAGAUGGCAAGGGAAGAACACCAUAUGAUCCAACUAUAUUAACAACGCCCGUGAUACAUCAAGAUCGUGCCAUCUCAAGAACACGAGAGAGAGAGAGAUUGAACACAUAGCUACUGAUACAUACCCUUAACCCCGAGGGUGAGCUACUCCCUCAUCAUCAUGGACUCCGCCGGUAUGAUGAAGAUGGCCACCAGCGAUGAAUUCCCCUAUCCGACAGGGUACCGGAAAGGCUCCAGAUGGGUUUUCUGUUGAUAGAGAGAGUUGCGCCGGCGGAGCAAAAGUACUCUCUUUAUUUCUGGGGUUUCUGGUAUGUAUAGGAUUUUCCAGUGUUGGAAUCACGCCAAACAGAGCCAUGCGGUCCCCACAAGCCAUCAGGGCGCGGCCUAGGAGGAUGCCCUGUUAGCUUGUGGGCCAAAGGGGGCUCCCCUUUGGUGGUUCUUCGCUGCAAUAUUUCUUAUUUCCUCUAGAAAAAAAAGGUUUCGCUUCAUUUUGUGCAGAAAACAACACAAUGGUAAUUCUGCUAAAAACAACGUCAGUCCAGGUUAGUUUUAAAUAAAUCAUAUAAAGUGUAUCAAAACCAUAUAAAAGUAUUGUAAACAUAGGCAAACAUGACAUGAAUUACUUCAUAAACUAUCGAUGCGUUGGAGACGCAUCAGCAUCCCCAAGCUUAAUUCCUACUCGUCCUCGAGUAGGUAAAUGAUAAAAAUAAUAAUUUAUGAAGUGUGAAUGCUAGCAUAGUAUAUAAGUUUGAUCAAUGAUAAUUCCAAUCACUUUUUCUAGCAUCAUAACCAACAACUUUUUCAUAAAAAUCAUCAUGGUUGGGUAGCAAUCAAUUCACAUGUCAUGGUUUAAACAAUGCAUUCUCUUGAAACUCAACAUCAUAUGUUCUUAUUCAUCAAACAAUUUCAAUGCAUCAUCAAGUCUAAGUAAGAGCUCCACAUACUCAAUUAUCAUAUAGUCUUCUAUGAUUGCUAAUAUUCAAAGCAUAUUUUUAGAACAAAUAACAUCCAUCGAACACAAAGAAAGAUAGGGGCUUAAUGUUUCGCCUCCUAACAUAUUUAUCAUAAAGAUAAUUGCCAACAAUAAUGAAUCAUGAUCAAAUAUAUUUGAGUGGGUAUAUAUGUUUGGAUCUUUCCCCAUCAGAUGGCGCUUGCCAACUAAUAGACCGAUGUUGGAAUAAGAAGUUGACUCAACAUGAAAAGUAAUUAACAUGGAAGUAAAUAGAUUGUACCUUCAUAGAGGGAAGCAUGGAUUUGUAGAGGGGCCAGAACUCAUUGUUUUAAAAUAGAGAUGAAUAUGUAAUUUUGGGUGGUGUGCCUUUUGUGUCAACGUCACUACAGAGUUUUCAAUAUCUUCCAUGCUAAUCACAUUAUUGGCGGUUCCCAAACAGAAUAGAAACUUUACCCCCCUCCACCAUUCAAACACAUUCCCUGGCUAGUCGUAUCCAUGGGUACCAUCCAAACCAUCAACUUUAUAGGGGGAGUUCUUGUUUAUUUAAUUUUGUAUUAUGCAGGACUAGACAUCCUUUUUAGCAACCUCUCUCAUGCAAUGACAUGUGAAUAAACACUCAUCUUGAGAAUAACUCGCUUAACAUGAAAGAUAAUGACCGCCCCGUCACUCCAUGAGUGGUACGAGCACACAAAAUGGAUGUUUAUUUGAAUGUUUAGAGGUGUCACAUGCAAAUUUACUUGGAAUGGCAAUGAAAAUACCGUAUAUAGGUAGGUAUGGUGGACUCUUAUGGAAGAAACUUGGCUCAGGGAUUUGGAUGUACAUGUAGUAUCUCUACUUAGUACGAAGGUUAGGCUAGCAAAAGGUUCUAAACAAUCACCACAUGUUGGAGAGUCCAUAACAAUAUAACUUCUAUGCAAAUAUACCCAAACAUAACCAUUACGUUGUUGUCUUCCUUGUACAACUUCAACUAUUUUAUGAAGGCUUAAAAUAAUUAAUGGGUACUCACAAUCAUAAAAGAUGUCCAAUAUAAUAUAUUUGUAUGUGAAAGUUCUUUUUCUUAUACUAAUUAUUCAUGAAUUGCUUGUAUGACCAAUAUUGUGAGUGUCAAACUUCAAUAGUUUUUCACUUUCUAAACAAAGUGUGAAACUACUACUAAGCAUAAAGCACGUUGAUAAUUUCAUAUUUAUCAUAUUUAAUUCAUUCACAAUUUACUCUUAGUAUAUAAGUGAAGCACAAGAGUAAACAUCAAACUACUCUCAAAACAUAUAAUUGAAGAUCAAUGAGUAGUCAAACAAUUAAGUAGAUAUGUGAGGACUCUCUCUCAAUAAAGAUUUUCAGAUCUUAGAAUUUUAUUUCAAACAUGAAGGAAAACAAAAUAUACAUUCCAAGAAUAGCACAUAUCAUGUGAACAAAAUAAAACUUAGGAUCAACAUAGGCUAACCGAUAUUUAUCGAUGAAGAGGGGUGGGAUUCGUAGCAUCCCCAAGCUUAGAAUCUUGAGACUUCUUGAAAUAUUUACUUGGGGUGGCUUGGGAAUCCCCAAGCUCGAUAUUUUGCAUCUCUUUCAAUCCUCUCAUAUCCUGGUUUCACCUAAGUCUCAGAAACUUCAUCCACAAUACUUGAAAAGAACUCGUGAGAUAGGUUAGCGUACAUAAGAAUAAAUCAACUCUUUAUGUGCUACCAAGAAAAGUUGCAUGAUAAUUUCAAAAUAUCAUCUACCGUUUACUAUCAUUUCCACAAUUUAUAUCUACCAAUGUAGUCUGUGGAAACUAUAGGAUAAGUAGAUAACAAAACUAUGCCAGCAGUGUGUCUAAACAGGACAUUCAGUAGCAAUUAAUUCAAAAAGUAUACCUCUGUAAAUCAAAAAAUCUGACAAUUUAGGACAUGAUAAAGUAUUUGUAUUAUAUAAUUGUGUAAAACUUCAGAAACUUUCCUUGUUCUAGUAAAAUCUGAUAAUUCAAAUACUACAUGGAAAGUUUCUGUUUUUAUACACCACAUAUCACAAAUGCAAUUCAAGCAUCUAAAGACAAUUCUUGGAACUUUUUAUUGAAUAACAAGAAUAUAAAUAACAUAUAAUAGAGAAGAACAAAAUAAAAUGACCCUCCAAGCAAAAUACAUAUCAGUGAUGAAUAAAAAUAUAGCUCCAAUUAAGAUAUACCGAUAAUGUUGUAUACGAAAGAGGGGAUGCCUUCUGGCGCAUCCCCAAGCUUAGACGCUUAAGUAUUCCUUGGAUAUUACAUUAGGGGUGCCUUGGGCAUCCUCAGUAUUAGGUUAUUUCUGCUCCCUAUUCUCCUUAUAUUGGUAUCUCACCAAAAAAUUGAAAACUUCAAUCACACAAAACUUAACGGAACUUUGUGAGACGGGUUAGUGUAAUAAAGAUAGAUCAUUCACUUAGGUACUAUCAUAAUAAGAUUUAUAAUUGCUAUCACAUGAUACAUACUGUAUUCUAUCAUUUCCAUAAUUUAUAUCACUAAAUAUAAGCUAUAGAAACACUAAACACAAGCAAACUAUGCAUGCAAAACAGAUGUGUGAAAAAUAUAAGAGUCCGUGAAUAUCUGACUCAACACCAUACUUUCCCAACUCUAAAACUUCUGAACAAUUAGGAUAACACAUAGAAUUUUCAUAUGCAAACUAUGUAAAAGUUUCAGAUUUUUUUGACAUUCUAGUAAAAUGAGAGAAAUUCUGCACUCGACGUAAAAGUUUCUGUUUUUGCAAAGAAUCAAACAAGCAAAUAUCCACAUUAUCCCAAAGGCUUUACUUGGCACCUUAUUGAAAUAAAUGACACAAAAUAUGAUUACUACAGUAGAUUAAUCAUGUGAACACAUGAAAAUAGAAAGUAAAAGUGUUGGGUUAUCUCCCAACAAGUGCUUUUCUUUAAUACAUUUUAUCUAGGCAUGAUGAUUCCAAUGAUGCUCACAUAGGAAUAGUAUUUGAAACAUGCAAGAGAGCAUCAUGAAUCACAUUGCAAGCACAUUUAAGUCUAACCCACUUCCUACACAUAGGGAUUUUUAAGCAAACAAUUUAUUGUAGCAAGAAUCAACUUGCAUAAGAAGGCAAAACAAGCAUAACUUCAAAAUCUUGAACACAUAGAGAGGACACUUGAUAUUAUUGCAAUACCUACAAGCAUAUGUUCCUCUAUCAUAAUAAUUUCCAGUAGCAUCAUGAAUGAAUUAAACAAUAUAACUAUCACAUAAAUCAUUUUUUCAUGAUGCACAAUCAUAGAAUUUUAUUACUACCCACACAUGCAAAAUUCUUAUCAUUCAUAGUAGUGGGAGCAAACUCAACAAAAUAACUAUCAUGAGAUACUUGAUUGAUAUAAUUCAUGCGAUCAUUAAAAUCAUGACGACAAGUUUCAUGGUUAUCCUUAUUCUUUAUAGCAUAAAUAUCAUCACAAUAAUAAUCAUAGAUAGGAGGCAUGAUUUCAUCAUAAUAAAUUUGCUCAUAAAAACUUGGGGGACUAAAAAUAACAUCUUCAUCAAACAUAGCAUUCCCAAGCUUGUGGCUUUGCAUAUCAUUAGCAUCAUGGAUAUUCAGAUAAUUCAUACCAACAAUAUUGCUACCAUUCUCAUCAUUCAAGGAUUCACAUUAAGCAUUUUCAUAAAUUCUUCCUUUAGCAAUUGAGCACAAUUUUCUGAACCAUCAUUUUCGCGGAAGACAUUAUAAAGACGAAGCAAAUGAGGUAACCUAAACUCCAUUUUUUGUAGUUUUCUUUUAUAAAAACAAACUAGUGAAAAACAAGCAACUAAAAGAUUUAAUUGCAAGAUCUAAAGAUAUACCUUCAAGCACUCACCUCCCCGGCAAGGGCGCUAAAAAGAGCUUGAUGUCUACACAACUUUAUUCUUGUAGACUAUGUUGGGUUUCCAGCCGCAGAGUUUUGUAGGAGACUAGCAAUUUUCCUUCAAGUGAAUGACCUAAGGUUUAUCAAUCCAUGGGAGGUGUAGGAUGAAGAUGAUCUCUCUCAAACAACCCUGCAAUAAAAUACAAAAAAUCUCUUGUGUCCCCAACACACCCAAUACAAUGGCAAAUUGUAUAGGUGCACUAGUUCGGCGAAGAGACGAUACAAGUGUAGUAUGAAUAGUAGAUAUAGGUUUUUGUAAUCUAAAAGUAUUAAAAUAGAAAGGUAGCAAGUGUAAAACGGCGAGCAAAACGUUGUAUGAAUGCUUGGAAAUGCUAUCAUAAUAGAAUCAUAUGAUCAUCCCCUCAACGUGCAAUAAUGAAUCACUCCAAAGUUCCUAUCUAGCGGAGAACAAUAAGAUGAAAUUGGUGUAGGUAGUAGAACCACCUCAAAGUUAUACUGUAUGAUCAAUCUUUUGAGCUAUUCUUAUAAGUGUCACAAACAGCCCUAGAGUUCGUACUAGAAUAACACCCAUGAUACAUAUCAAUCAACCCUAAUGCUUCCUAGAUACUCCAAUGUCACCUCAAGUAUCCAUGGGUAAAUUAUUUGACAUGCAUAAAACAAUUUCAUAUCUAAUAUAUUCAAUCCAACACAAAGAACUUCAAGGUGCACCCAAUAUUUCUAUCGGAUAACGUAGUAUGAAAACGUGCAAUCAACCCCUAUGCAUAGACCCCCAAGGUCAUUGGAAUCCGCAAGUUGAUGUCAUAACAUAUAUCAAGUGAAUCACUUGAAUACCCCAAUGUCACUACGGGUAUUCGCAUGCAAGACAUACAUCAAGUGUUCUCAAACCAAAGUAUUCAAUCCAACAUAACAAGUUCUUAAAGGGAGAGAUUCAAUUCAUCACAACGAGAUGUUACGACAACAAAGGACAACCUCGUCGCCGCCGAGAGAGGGAAUGGGAGUGUGGUUGGGGUUUGAACCCAUGGCAGCGGAAGCGGGAUUAUGCCCGAAAGGAUUGAACAACUCCUCUGCGACUGAUACAAUGUAAACAAGAUUAGGAUUCAACACACUUUGCAUUAGCUUAAAGGUUGUGUAUAUGUACACUUACAGGGUCAUAACCGUGGCUAGGACGUGUGUCACUACCUCAGUAAGCCCACUACAACCACUAACACGGGCUAGGCCGUGGGCACAACCGUUCACGGUGACCACUACGUCAACGCACGCACGCGCACAGGUCAUGUGUACUGAAAAAUUGUAAAAAGGAUCAUUAACAUGAGUUUUUCUUACAAAAUUAACAAUCAAAUCUAGCUUAUACAGCUAGAAAAUGGGACAACUAGACCAACCGAUGUACUCCCCCUGUUCCUAAAUAUAAGUAUUUUUACAGACUCCACUCUAAAGAAAAUGGGACAACUACAACAAAGUGAGUGAACCUACACUCUAAAGUGUGUAGAUAUACAUCCAUAUGUAGUCUCUUAGUGAAACCUUUAAAAAGAUUUAUAUUUAGAAACGAAGAAAGUAGAAAUGACCUUAAACAAAGGAGAAAUUACAACCAAAACUCUGGACCUUAGAAUUCUCACCAAAGUUGUAGCCGAUAUCAUUGCGACACAAUAGCUCUCAUGAGCGAUAGACCUGUAGAGGACCAAACCUUGUUCAAUAACUGUAGCAUUAAACCACCAUAAAUGGUGGAUAUUAUCAAUCAUGCCAAGCUCUUCGACGAGGGCAUCACCUGAUCUAGGCAAACAACCACUCUAGCAUAGCUAGACCAGGGGGUGACCUUGCUCAAAAGUAGUGUCAUAAGUGAAGGCUGUCGCCGAUACCCAUGGAGCCACGUCGAUGGACAAUAAACAAAUCUCCUUGGCAACACCGGACGGGUCACCACAAUGAUGAGAUUAGAGUGUGAGAACUUCCGUUCAAGAUGACACCACCAUCAUUGUUCAAAUGAUGUUACCAAAACACAAACAAAUAUCCAAAAAGAACCUCCCCUACACAAUAAGAAAGACGAGGAUCUCCUCCCCUUUGCCCCCAUAACAUCGAAGUGGUAGUUGGAGGCACACAGGAGCUACAAUAAGAUAUGGAUAGAUCAUCAAAUGAAUCUUAUCUUUAUUAUGGCUUAAAAGGGUUUUAUGUGUUUUUGUUUAGCUAAACUAACAUAUUAUAUUUAUUUUUGAAAAUAGUUACAUCAUCCGCUAAAUACAUACACCAGGAAAAAUGAGGGAUUCAUAUUGGCUUCCCUAAGGCAGUGCUCAAAUGAAACUUGUGAAAAACUACGACAUAAAACAUACAAGUCUUCAUUACUAGACAUAUUGGUUUCAUGCAGGGGCGGACCUAGAAACUAUUUUAAGUGGGGGCAAAUAAUAGGAGUGGGGGCACACUUUGUACAAAUUUACAUAGUUUUGGCAAAAAAUUCUAAAAUUUCAAAGAAAUAUAACUGGAGUUUCAUAUUUUGAGUGGGGUCCUAGGCCCCCACUCCCAUGAAUGUGGGUCCGCCCCUGGUUUCAUGUGUUGUUUAGUAGAGAGGAUUCUCUUAAUCAUAGAUGAAAUUUUUAAAAAAGAAAAUGGAAAUUAAAGUUCUUUGAUCGAAAAAAGAAAUUUAAACCGGUAAGAUUACACUUGCCCUACCAAAGUUAAGUAGGUCUCCAUUCAAAUAAAAAAGGGGCAUGCUACGCGUCAUUUGCCGUAUCUUUUCAGAAAGAUCCGUCGCCUUACAAGUCGUCCGAUACAUGAUGCAAGUUGUGAGUUCCUCUUCUCUAAUUUUCUGUAAUAAUACUCUUAUUGCGAAACUCUUUUUUUUUAAAUUUCCUGCAAUAAUGCAUUUGAUACGAAUCCCCUCUUCUCUAGUUUCCUCCAAGAAGUCCCUUGUUGUAUUUUUUUUCUAAAUUUUUUGUAACAAGACCUUUGUUGCAAAAAAUGCAAACACAUCUCCCGUAGUGUUCAAUUUUCUGUAACAAGACACUUGUUGCGAAAGUUGCAACAACAUCUCCAGCCGCAUCGCGCACUAACACAAUCGUCUUUUGUUGUCGUUGUUCUGUUGUUAUAUAAAUUUGGAGCGGACAUGAAGGUACGACAUGGUGAUGUGGCUGCUGCUAGAGUUGGUGGUGCCCAAAACGGCACAACUGAAACAAGAGGUGAGUUGCAAAAACUGUAUUAGGAUAAUGAUUGCUUUUAAAUAAUUCGAUUCAAAUAAAAUCCAACGGUUACAAAGGAGGUGGACGCGUACACAAACGUUCGCCGAUUGGACGAUAGCUUUUUCCAAUAAAAAAACGUCAAGUAAGCCUAGAAAUGAGGAUGGACCGUGGACGCGACCUAACCUUUUUUUAAGCACAGGCCUAGUUCUGGACCGCAAUAGCCCAAUCGACCAAUGUGAUUCGGUACGGCCCACGGGUCUGACGGAUGGAAUGGACGCGCCCUAACUCGCAGAUCGCACUUCGCAAGCCGCGCCGCCGCCGCUCCCCACGCUCGUCGGGCACACGCCGUCAAACCACUCCACUCCACCCACCCGUCCGCCGUCUCCCACGCNCGGCGGCGAGCCCAGCGAUAGGGCAAAGCGCGACUGAAUCGGCGUGCAAUCGGAGGCGCCGGGCGGGGGCGGCACCGCGGCAGGCUGCCAGCGAAUCGGUCGGUUGCCGCUCCGUUCGUCUUCGUCUGAUGGCUGUCGACGCCAUGUUCCCUGUCCUGCGCUUCUCCGACUACUUCACCCGGCCGUCCAUCGACGAGCUGGUCGAGAGGGAGGCGGCUGACCCGGGCUACUGCAGCAGGGUUCCAGAUUUCGUCGUCGGCAGGGUGAGGUAUGGGCAGGUUAAGUUCUCUGGCAGCACCGACGUGAGGGGGCUGGACCUGAACGAAAUCGUCAAGUUUGGCCGCCAUUCUGUGGUGGUUUACGGGGACGAGGCUGGCAAGCCGGCCGUAGGGCAUGGCUUAAAUAAAGCCGCGGAGGUGACGCUGAAGCUGGAUUUGAGUACACUUCCGAAACCCGGUGUCCUAGUCGAGUUGCUAAGGUGCCGCACGAAGAAGCAAGGCGCUAGGUUUCUCUCAUUCAAUCCUGUGAAUGGUAACUGGAAGUUCCAGGUCGACCACUUCAGUAGGUUUGGGCUUGUGGACGAGGAGGAAGAUGAUGUUGCCAUGGAUGAGCCGGUUGUUCGACAACCGGUUGCUGAAGCAAGAGACCCACCUCCAAAUGGGCAUGAGCUGGAGCUUUCGCAUUCGUUGCCUGCUCAUCUUGGGCUUGACCCUGCAAAGAUGCAGGAAAUGCGGAUGGCAUUGUUUCCCAAUGAUGAAGAAGACGAAGAUAUGGAGGAUGGCUUUCCAUCUGAUCACAGACACCUCAGCAGAGAAAGGAUGAAUGUGGAUUCACCCAACACAAGUGGUAAAGGUCAGAGGAUGAGGUCUCUGUCUCCUUUGCAUGGUUCUUCUCAGAAAUUUGGAAGGAGAUCUGGUGUGCUUGCAAGGAAAGAACCACAUGCACUGCUGGAAUACAAUGUAAAAUCUACAGAGCUUGGUCCAUCUUCUCAUGGUAUUCUCAUGUCUGGAAAAAACAAGGGAUUUCCGGUGAGAAUGACCAAGGUAGAAGGCUUCAAACUACCAGCUGAGCAAGCAACUCCUGUUGCUGGAAAAGUAUAUUCUAACUGUGUAGUGGAUGCUGCUUUAUUUAUGGGUAGAUCAUUUCGAGUUGGUUGGGGACCAAAUGGCAUCCUUCUCCAUUCUGGUAGUCUUGUCAAUGCUCCUGGGACAGGCCUUUCUUCUGUUAUUCACAUAGAGAAAGUAGCAGGUGAUAAAGUUGUGCGUGAUGAGCAGAACAAAGUUAAAGAGGAGCUGGCAGAACUAUGUUUCUCGGACCCAAUGGACCUCCAUAAGAGGCUUGACCGCGAACUUCUGGAAACCGAGUCUGGCUCGUUUAAAUUAAAACUUCAGAAAGUUGUGGCAAGUCGUUUGGUUUUGCCAGAUAUUUGCAGAUCAUAUAUUGAUAUCAUCGAAAGACAGCUAGAAAUCAGCGAUUUAUCCAUGUCUUCACGUGUGCUGUUAAUGCACCAAGUUACAGUUUGGGAGUUAAUUAGGGUCCUGUUCUCAGAGAGAGAAGCUGGUAACCAGUUGGAAUUUAGUGGCGAUGAGGAUCAGGAGGGCAUGAUUUUGGAUAAGAAAGAAGGUUCUGUGAACAUAGAUCCUGAAGCACUGCCUUUGGUUAGGAGAGCAGACUUUAGCAAUUGGUUACAGGACAGUGUUUGUCAUCGGGUACAAGGAGAGGUGGGUUCCUUAAGUGAUGCCAGGUACUUGGAGCAUAUUAUUCUGCAUUUGUCUGGUCGGCAACUGGACACAGCCACAGAAAUUGCUGCUUCAAGGGGCGAUGUCCGCUUGGCAGUCCUGUUAAGCCAGGCAGGUGGAUCGAUGUUAAAUCGUUCUGAUGUUGCUCAGCAGCUGGAUCUGUGGAAAAUAAAUGGUCUGGACUUUGAUUAUAUUGAGGAAGACAGGUUAAGGAUUUAUGAGUUGCUUGCUGGUAACAUACAAGGCGCGUUACUUGAUUCACCAAUCGACUGGAAAAGGUAUCUUGGUUUAAUCAUGUGGUAUCAGUUGUCACCAGAUACAUCACUUGACAUUAUCAUUCAGUGUUAUCACCAACUACUUGGUGAGGGCAAAGUUCCAAAUCCUGUUCCUGUAUACAUCGAUGAAGGACCUCUUGAGGAAGCACUUCAGUGGUCCCCAGGUGACCGUUUUGACAUAUCUUUUUAUUUAAUGCUUCUUCAUGCCAACCGAGAUGAGAAGUUUGAGCUUCUAAAAACUAUGUUCAGUGCAUUCUCGUCAUCGUAUGAUCCCUUAGACUACCAUAUGAUCUGGCAUCAACGAUCUAUUCUUGAAGCUAUUGGUGCUUUCAGUACAAAGGAUCUUCAUGUACUGGAUUUGAGUUUUGUCCAUCAGUUACUAUGUCUUGGGAAGUGUCAUUGGGCUAUCUACGUCAUUCUGCAUAUGCCACAUCUGGAUGAUGCCCCUUACAUCCAUGAAAAGUUAAUCAGGGAAAUUUUGUCACAGUAUUGUGAGAUAUGGAGCAAAGAUGGGGCUCAGAGGCAAUAUAUUGCAGAACUUGGUAUACCAGCAGAAUGGAUACAUGAGGCUCUGGUUAGUAGCAAUAUCGUAACUUCCUGCUAAUUAUCUGACCUGCAGUCAAUGUGUUUUCUUUGAUGAAAAUAUGUCUAACCAUUGAUUACAAAUAUUUAUGAAUGCCACUACGAGAACACUAAGCAUGAUCCUGCUUAGCUGACAAUACCUAUAUGCAGGCUCUUUAUCACGAAUAUUAUGGAGAUCGACAAGGUGCACUGGGAAAUUAUAUUCAAUGCGGCAAUUGGAAUAAAGCUCAUACUAUUUUCAUGACAUCUGUUGCUCAUUCUUUGUUUCUGUCAUGUAAGUCUUCCCUACAAUGCACUAAACAAUAGUUGUAAAGACCCGAUUCAAUGUUUCACUUUCCUACCUACAUAAAUAUGCAGCUAAACCUACUUGGCUACUCCUCCAGAACCUAAUCAAAUGAAGAUUCUUGUGAAUUUCCAUGCUAUUCUCUUAGUUACACUUUCGUUCAUAAAAAUAUGUAUGACUGAGGAUAUCUUAUCAAUUUUGUACUGUUUCUGUUAAUAAACAUUGCAUGAGUUUGUAAUUGCUUGUUUCUUCGGCAUAUGGUUCAGCAAAACAUCAAGAAAUCUUUGACAUUACAAGCGCUUUGGAGAAUCACAGAUCUGAAAUUGCUGACUGGGAUGUUGGGGCUGGAAUAUACAUAGAUUAUUUCGUUAUAAAAAACUCUAUGCAAGAAGAAAGUACUAUGGACGAUGAUUCAGUAAGUAUUUUUACCCAUCAAAGUUUACCUGAAUAUUUCAGAGUCGACACAAUCUUACUUUAUCUUCCAGGACACACUUGAGGGGAAAAAUGAAUUGUGCAAGAGUUUCUUUGAUCGAUUAAAUGAGUCGCUGAGUAUCUGGGGAAGCAAAUUACCCAUUGAGGCAAGGUAAGAUGGUAUCCGUUGAUGUAAUAGAUCUACAACCUGCUAGUAAUCAAAUAUUGAUGUUUACAUGAAAUUGUUUGGACUUUCAUGUCAUGUUUGAACUGAAGUAAUCCUGCUUCUAAGAAACAUAAUUUUGAUUUGCAGUGUUGACAAGUUCCCAUAUAAUUAGAUUCUUUGCAUAGAGCCACAUAUUAAUUUGCACCUGAACUGUAUAACCCAUUUCCAAAUCCAAGCUUCUUAGUCACAAUGGAAAUCGUGGUUAUUCCUUACACGAUUUGGCUGAUUCUUUAAAUCCAUCAACACAUACUGGUAUUCUUAUUUAUUUUAAAACAAAGUUUGAGGCCCAUUCUCAUGCUUGUGUAACUGCGGCAGGGCAUGCUUCUCGAAGAUGGCAGAGGAGCUCUGUGAGCUUCUAAUGAGCUUCCCCGGCGAUGGCUCGACGCCAGAUCUCUUCAUGGGCUGCUUCCAGACGAUGCUUGAUGCCCCUGUCCCCGAUGACCACAGGGCGUCCUACCUGCAGGAGGCAGUCUCUGUUUUCACCAACAUACUUUGCGAGUACUCAUCCUAGUCCUAUGGGACUCAUGGCAUAGUUCCUACGGAUGAUCCAUGACAUAGUUCCUAUGGUGCUCAAGUCAGUCACGGAAUCCGGGUUGCGCAAGAGCUCUGAAUUGGCACACCACGCAUUUGGAACAAGUUACAGAGAUUCCCAUGUCUGAAGCUGAGGGAAAUGUAGAACAUUGCCAUGGUCGGUGCAGACAAUUGCCCACCCCUGCAAACGCAUGAGGAAACCUGACGAUAUUUUUCUGCACGCGUGCCACUUUUCUUGUAACCCGUGUGCCGCACCCAUUCGGGCAUCGUCUUUUUUGUUAUUAUUGUUACGUAGAACAAUAACUCAUGUAGGGUUGUAGUAGAGUGUUUGUGUGUGUUGAAAUGCCAAAGAGUCGGUUGUAGAUUUAUCGCAGGCAAUACGUAGGCUGAUCUUGUUGUUUUGUGGCGUGCGGAUACUGCUUUUCGCGAACCAUGUGAAAGCUGUGGUUUGUUCAAAGGAGAGCGACGAGUGCUUUCGGUGUAAUACCGGGGACGGUAGCAGCACAGCCCACAUGCGUGGGUCACCGGUUUUCGCUCGUUCUCCGUAUGGUGUGUGUCAAGUAGUAUUUCUCAUCGGCCAAAUCAUUGGAGGAAAUGGUUUAUCUUCACGGCAGGAGACAGCGACGCGUUCGCUUCCCACUCACAAGGCACCGUACACCUUCUUCCUUUUCGUAAUAGCAUCAAGUACGGCCGGCUCGAGAAUUCGUCGUCAUAGUCAUCGUUCUAAAACAAAAGGGAUUUCGUCGGUACGUGCUUGCCGUCGUGUACUCCAAGUCGCCAACAACCGGAAGAUAAAACAAGAUUUGUGCCCGUGACUGUGCAGGGGCCUGGAAGAUACAUAUCUCCAACGCCAAUAGCCCCGUGCCUUGCCACCACGUUUGCCACGUCGGGUUCCGGCGACGGCGAGGGUCGCGAACCCACCACCGGCCAACGGGAUUUUAUAGAAGGAGACCGACCACCGAAAACAGCUCCCGCAGCAGGUGGCGCCCAACGGCACCCGGUAAUAAACAAAACCGGCGAUGGCGACACGAACCCACGACGCAGAGUCUUAUCCGGACCGAGCAGAGCACACCGAGUAGCGAGACCCGUCCCGGUAUCCUAUAAAAUGCACCUCACAUCGGAGGAUCCAUCCACAGCAUACAGAGCAAACCAAAGCAUCCAGGUUCCAGAGCAGCAGCAGUUUCGAGCUGAGUUGAGUGUUCUUGGGGUUGCCAAUGGCGGACAUCGCGAUGCUGGUGGCGGAGGAGCACGAGAAGAGGCUGAAGCGAGGGGCGCCCCGCGUCGUCGCCGCCGCGGCCGCCGACGAGGAGGAGGAGGCGUCCAAGGNNNNNNN